rnacentral:rRNA from 1 species
AGCGAACGCUGGCGGCAGGCCUAACACAUGCAAGUCGAGCGCCCGUAGCAAUACGGGAGCGGCAGACGGGUGAGUAACACGUGGGAACGUACCCUUCGGUUCGGAAUAACCCAGGGAAACUUGGAUUAAUACCGGAUACGUCCGUAAGGAGAAAGAUUUAUCGCCGAAGGAUCGGCCCGCGUCCGAUUAGCUUGUUGGUGGGGUAAUGGCCCACCAAGGCUACGAUCGGUAGCUUGUCUGAGAGGAUGAUCAGCCACACUGGGACUGAGACACGACCCAGACUCCUACGGGAUGCAGCAGUGGGGAAUAUUGGACAAUGGGCGCAAGCCUGAUCCAGCCAUGCCGCGUGGGUGAUGAAGGCCCUAGGGUUGUAAAGCCCUUUCGGCGGGGAAGAUAAUGACGGUACCCGCAGAAGAAGCCCCGGCUAACUUCGUGCCAGCCGCCGCGGUAACAC